rnacentral:rRNA from 1 species
AUGAACGCUGGCGGCGUGCCUCAUCCCUGCCAGUCGCGCGAACAGACGAGGAGCUUGCUCCUCUGACGUUAGCGGCGGACGGGUGAGUAACACGUGGAUAACCUACCUAUAAGACUGGGAUAACUUCGGGAAACCGGAGCUAAUACCGGAUAAUAUAUUGAACCGCAUGGUUCAAUAGUGAAAGACGGUUUUGCUGUCACUUAUAGAUGGAUCCGCGCCGCAUUAGCUAGUUGGUAAGGUAACGGCUUACCAAGGCAACGAUGCGUAGCCGACCUGAGAGGGUGAUCGGCCACACUGGAACUGAGACACGGUCCAGACUCCUACGGGAGGCAGCAGUAGGGAAUCUUCCGCAAUGGGCGAAAGCCUGACGGAGCAACGCCGCGUGAGUGAUGAAGGUCUUCGGAUCGUAAAACUCUGUUAUUAGGGAAGAACAAAUGUGUAAGUAACUAUGCACGUCUUGACGGUACCUAAUCAGAAAGCCACGACUAACUACGUG